CCGGAUAUGGUGUAAUGGCUAACAUUGCCGCCGCUCGGGCUGAUAAACCAAAUGGAAGUACACUACUGUACAAGGUGUACUUCCAUUUGGCGCCCGAGACGCUGCAGCUCGGGGUUCGAGUCCCCGUAUCCGGA